UACGUAGGGUGCGAGCGUUGUCCGGAAUUAUUGGGCGUAAAGGGCUCGUAGGCGGUUUGUCGCGUCGGGAGUGAAAACCAGGUGCUUAACACCUGGCUUGCUUUCGAUACGGGCAGACUAGAGGUAUGCAGGGGAGAACGGAAUUCCUGGUGUAGCGGUGAAAUGCGCAGAUAUCAGGAGGAACACCGAUGGCGAAGGCAGGUCUCUGGGCAUUAACUGACGCUGAGGAGCGAAAGCAUGGGGGAGCGAACAGG
rnacentral:rRNA from 1 species